rnacentral:rRNA from 1 species
AAUGCUGACAUAAGUAACGAUAAAGCGGGUGAAAAGCCCGCUCGCCGGAAGACCAAGGGUUCCUGUCCAACGUUAAUCGGGGCAGGGUGAGUCGACCCCUAAGGCGAGGCCGAAAGGCGUAGUCGAUGGGAAACAGGUUAAUAUUCCUGUACUUGGUGUUACUGCGAAGGGGGGACGGAGAAGGCUAUGUUGGCCGGGCGACGGUUGUCCCGGUUUAAGCGUGUAGGCUGGUUUUCCAGGCAAAUCCGGAAAACCAAGGCUGAGGCGUGAUGACGAGGCACUACGGUGCUGAAGCGACAAAUGCCCUGCUUCCAGGAAAAGCCUCUAAGCAUCAGGUAACAUCAAAUCGUACCCCAAACCGACACAGGUGGUCAGGUAGAGAAUACCAAGGCGCUUGAGAGAACUCGGGUGAAGGAACUAGGCAAAAUGGUGCCGUAACUUCGGGAGAAGGCACGCUGAUAUGUAGGUGAAGCGACUUGCUCGUGGAGCUGAAAUCAGUCGAAGAUACCAGCUGGCUGCAACUGUUUAUUAAAAACACAGCACUGUGCAAACACGAAAGUGGACGUAUACGGUGUGACGCCUGCCCGGUGCCGGAAGGUUAAUUGAUGGGGUUAGCGGUAACGCGAAGCUCUUGAUCGAAGCCCCGGUAAACGGCGGCCGUAACUAUAACGGUCCUAAGGUAGCGAAAUUCCUUGUCGGGUAAGUUCCGACCUGCACGAAUGGCGUAAUGAUGGCCAGGCUGUCUCCACCCGAGACUCAGUGAAAUUGAACUCGCUGUGAAGAUGCAGUGUACCCGCGGCAAGACGGAAAGACCCCGUGAACCUUUACUAUAGCUUGACACUGAACAUUGAGCCUUGAUGUGUAGGAUAGGUGGGAGGCUUUGAAGUGUGGACGCCAGUCUGCAUGGAGCCGACCUUGAAAUACCACCCUUUAAUGUUUGAUGUUCUAACGUUGGCCCGUAAUCCGGGUUGCGGACAGUGUCUGGUGGGUAGUUUGACUGGGGCGGUCUCCUCCUAAAGAGUAACGGAGGAGCACGAAGGUUGGCUAAUCCUGGUCGGACAUCAGGAGGUUAGUGCAAUGGCAUAAGCCAGCUUGACUGCGAGCGUGACGGCGCGAGCAGGUGCGAAAGCAGGUCAUAGUGAUCCGGUGGUUCUGAAUGGAAGGGCCAUCGCUCAACGGAUAAAAGGUACUCCGGGGAUAACAGGCUGAUACCGCCCAAGAGUUCAUAUCGACGGCGGUGUUUGGCACCUCGAUGUCGGCUCAUCACAUCCUGGGGCUGAAGUAGGUCCCAAGGGUAUGGCUGUUCGCCAUUUAAAGUGGUACGCGAGCUGGGUUUAGAACGUCGUGAGACAGUUCGGUCCCUAUCUGCCGUGGGCGCUGGAGAACUGAGGGGGGCUGCUCCUAGUACGAGAGGACCGGAGUGGACGCAUCACUGGUGUUCGGGUUGUCAUGCCAAUGGCACUGCCCGGUAGCUAAAUGCGGAAGAGAUAAGUGCUGAAAGCAUCUAAGCACGAAACUUGCCCCGAGAUGAGUUC